rnacentral:rRNA from 1 species
CCUACGGGGGGCAGCAGUGGGGAAUAUUGCACAAUGGCCGAAACCCUGAUGCAGCGACGCCGCGUGAGUGAAGACGUAUUUCGGUAUGUAAAGCUCUAUCAGCAGGGAAGAAGAAAGCCGGUACCUGACUAAGAAGCCCCUGCUAACUACGUACCAGCAGCCUAGGUAAUACGUAGGGGGCAAGCGUUAUCCGGAGUUACUGGGGGUGAAGGGAGCGUAGACGGGUGUGCAGUGCUGAAGGGAAAGCCCAGGGCUCAACCCUGGGACUGCUUUGGAAACUGUGGAGCUAGAGUGCUGGAGAGGUAAGUGGAAUGCCUAGUGUAGCGGUGAAAUGCGUAGAUAUUAGGAGGAACACCAGUGGCGAAGGCGGCUUACUGGACAGUAACUGACGUUGAGGCUCGAAAGCGUGGGGAGCAAACAGGAUUAGAUACCCUGGUAGUC